rnacentral:misc_RNA from 1 species
UUUCCGUAGGUGAACCUGCGGAAGGAUCAUUAUCGUGGGGCUUCGGCCCUGUCGAGAUAGAACCCUUGCCUUUUUGAGUACCUUUCGUUUCCUCGGCAGCCUCGGCUGCCAAUGGGGACCCCAAAAAACACUUUGCAGUACCUGUAACAGUCUGAACAAACAAACAAAAAUUAAAACUUUCAACAACGGAUCUCUUGGUUCUG